UUGGCUUCCCUUGACCACGCUUCUGCUAAUCCCUGCUGUACUGAGUCUUGGAGCACUUUUCCUGGAAAGCCCCCGUGCACAGACUCACAGACCAGGUGGCGUCUUACCUGGUCACCCUGGUCUGUGUCUACUUUGCAAGGGUGAGCGUAUAACUCUGCGAGCCGGACUCCCCAUCAGGUAAGAACCUGACAUAAUGAACUGACCAUAUGGAGUCUGCAGAGUUAUACAAAUUACUCACCUCCCUGGCUGAACAAGUCUCCAACCUGUCCCAGAAUGUUAUGGAUUUGCAGAGAUGUUCAUUGGCAUUUAAAGGAGCAGUACAUCCAAUCC